GACGAACGCUGGCGGCGUGCUUAACACAUGCAAGUCGAACGGUGAAGCGCCUUCCUUUUUGGUGGGUGUGGAUGAGUGGCGAACGGGUGAGUAACACGUGAGUAACCUGCCCCCUUCUUCUGGAUAACCGCAUGAAAGUGUGGCUAAUACGGGAUAUUCUGGGUCUGUCGCAUGAUGGGUCUGGGAAAGAUAUUGUUUCGGUGGGGGAUGGGCUCGCGGCCUAUCAGCUUGUUGGUGGGGUGAUGGCCUACCAAGGCGGUGACGGGUAGCCGGCCUGGGAGGGUGGACGGUCACACUGGGACUAAGACACGGCCCAGACUCCUACGGGAGGCAGCGGUGGGGAAUAUUGCACAAUGGGCGGAAGCCUGAUGCAGCGACGCCGCGGGAGGGAUGGAGGCCUGCGGGUUGUGAACCUCUUUCGCCGGUGAAGCAGGCCUGCCUCGUUUGUGGGUGGGUUGACGGUAGCUGGAUAAGAAGCGCCGGCUAACUACGUG
rnacentral:rRNA from 1 species